CCUUUUGCAACCUUCUGGUGCUGGGGAAAGCAGAUCUAUUUAGCAACCGUGUUAUUAAUUUACAGCACCGAUUCAUGUAACAACGGUAGCAAGAAAGGUGGUAAAACAAGGCAAAAUCCCGUUUAAGAAAUGUCUCGCUUGGCAACAGAAGUUUUGGGCUCCACCGUGUCAGAAAUGUCCAUCUUCAUUGUCGUUUAAGCGGCCUCCAGUAAAGGUCUCCGGGCUCGCCUUCCCGACCAACCGGAUUUCAAAAUGCUCAUAAAAGAGUAUCGGAUUCCUCUCCCCAUGAGCGUUGAGGAAUAUCGGAUUGCCCAGCUGUACAUGAUCCAGGUCGUAUGGACUGACAACAAAGGAGUUUUUGCAAUUUGAAUUUUUCUUGCUUGCAUCUCUAUCUUUGACCUGGCAAGCUUUCCUCUGUUCUGUGGGUCCCCAAUGCCCACAUGGAAAAAGAGAGAGCUGGUGUUGAAUGGCCCCAAUUUGUCCAGGGUCCAAGCCUUGGAGACAGGCAAGGUCAGGAAACAGAGGCCUUAAGAAAUCU
rnacentral:lncRNA from 1 species